rnacentral:lncRNA from 1 species
GAAUAUGGGAGGGAUAGAGAGAGAGAGACUCAAUUUGGUCAAACAUGGGAAAGAGAGAAAGGUUUAGGGGUUCAGGCCUCAUCAGUUGGUAACAAAGAAAGCCGAAGAGAGAGAAAAAUAAGGGAAAAAUAUGGUUCAUAGUCCAUAGUUCAUCAAGAAAGGAGAGAGAGGAGAAAGAGAAGUUCAUGAGAGAGAGAGGGAGAGAGGACUAGCCUCUAUGCCAUCACUUGUAGGAAAUAGGGGAGGAAGGG